rnacentral:rRNA from 1 species
GGGCGUUAAGGGCGCGUAGGCGGUUUGGCAAGUUUGGUGUGAAAUUCUUUCGGGCUCAACUCCGAAGUCUGCAUCGAAAACUGCCGGGCUUGAGUAUGGGAGAGGUGAGUGGAAUUUCCGGUGUAGCGGUGAAAUGCGUAGAUAUCGGAAGGAACACCUGUGGCGAAAGCGGCUCACUGGACCAUUACUGACGCUGAGGCGCGAAAGCUAGGGGAGCAAACAGGAUUAGAUACCCUGGUAGUCCUAGCCCUAAACGAUGAUUGCUUGAUGUGGCAGGUACCCAAUCCUGCCGUGUCGAAGCUAACGCGAUAAGCAAUCCGCCUGGGGAGUACGGUCGCAAGGCUGAAACUCAAAGGAAUUUGACGGGGGCCCGCACAAGCGGUGGAGCAUGUGGUUUAAUUUCGACGCAACGCGAAGAACCUUACCUGGGCUCGAAAUGUACAGGAAAUCACUUUAGAAAAUAGGUGCGCCCUAGCAAUAGGCCCUGUAUAUAGGUGCUUGCAUGGCUUGUCGUCAGCUUCGUGUCCGUGAGAUGUUUGGGUUUAAGUCCCGCAACGAGCGCAACCCCUUAUCUUCUAGUUUGCUACCCAUUUUAGUUUGAGCACUCUAGCGAAACCCGCUCUCGGAUAACGGGGAGGAAGGGUGGGGGGAUGACGUCAAGUCUCUCAUGGCUCUUUUAUGUCCCAGGGCCUACACACGUGCUACAAUGGGCUCGGUACAAAUCGCUGCGAAUCUCGCGAGGGGGUAGCUCAAUCGGGAAAAAGUCGGGUCUCAGUUCGGGAUUGGAGUCUGCAACUUCGACUCUCAUGAAGCUGGGAAUCCGCUAGUAUCGCAGAUCAGAAUGCUGCGGUGAAUACGUUC